UCCUCACUAGUCAAGUUUUUAAGAAUCAUAAUUUUUUAAAAAGAUUUAAAAGACUCUGGCUCAUUUUCCUAUUCUUAUGUCAUAAAAUCAAUUCAAAAUAUAAGCAGCACUGGGCUUUCUCCUCUGCUUCUGUUCACUGGCUCUCUGUGGCUAUUUAAAUCCUGUUCAGCAAUUUCUCUUUGACUUUUUAAACCCAUUGGAACUUUACUUUUGUGAUUUCAUAUUCAUGGCUUCCUUAGGUUUUUCCUAUUGUAGACAAUAGUCUCUUUUUAGUUUAUUAUUCCUACCUGAAUCCCUGAUAAUUUUUUGUUCUUAUAACUAUACACAUACGAGUUGCUUUUCCAUCUGUCUCCCUCUUUUCUUCUUUUCAGGGUUUCCUAAACUCCCAUCAGAUGCUCAUUGGUGAAUUAUUACCACUAAGGAUUAAGAUCGAACACCCACAAAUGGCUAUUUGCAUACAAUAAAAGAAGUAUGGUGGGAGAUUAUCAGGGCUUCUGGCUAAUUCUAUCCCUCUCCAGGACAAACACCAGCAAAUCAUCUGGUAAUUGGGGGAAGGCCAUGGAGACAACAUGGGAGGAAUUAAGCAAGUGGAAGAUAUCACCCUCCAGUGACUAAAGGCUCAAUACAUCAGUAUGCCCAGAAACUCCGUAAGUCAAUGGGUAAAUUAGUACCCUGUCAGGAGGAAUAAAUGAUUGGCUAUGAAUAGGAGAGGGCACGAGGGAGGAGCAAGGAGAAAGGAAAAUCUUCUUUCAUAAAACAAAACAAAACAAAAUAAAACCCCUAUCAACCUUCACAAUAUCUAAAAAAAAAAAAAAAAGACUAUUAUCUAAGGAAACAUGAAAAUGAAAAGAUAUGAUUUUUUAAAGGAAACAUUUAAAGGCCACUAGGGGAGGAGGAAGUCAACUUCAGGAACACUAGCAAUGAGAAGAGAUGAAAACCUCAUGUAUGAAAAGCCUUCACCUCUCCCUGGAGUAACUUCAGAAAAUACAUGGGUCCAUUAGGGAGUUAGGUGGUGAAAAACAUUUGACUCUCUUGGAGAGAACUGCCCCCAUGGCAGAUAUUUCUAGAGGUAAAAGAGAACAGAGGGAAUCAGAGAAGAUUAGAAGAGGUAAAGUAUAUUUUGUUGAAAUUAAACUUGCAGGUAAAUGAUUCCAUGUUGAAUGGCUUAUUUUGGGAUCAGAUUUUAACAAAGCAUCAGAUACUAUGAACAAAGCC
rnacentral:lncRNA from 1 species